rnacentral:rRNA from 1 species
GCCUGCCCAGUGACCUUGUUUACGGCCGCGGUACCCUAACCGUGCGAAGGUAGCGUAAUCACUUGUUCUCUAAAUGCGGACUAGUAUGAACGGCAUCACGAGGGUUAUACUGUCUCCUCUUUCUAAUCAGUGAAACUAAUCUCCCCGUGAAGAGGCGGGGAUAAAACUAUAAGACGAGAAGACCCUAUGGAGCUUUAAACAAUAUAGCACUUGCCCUGUAAUAUAAAAUUUCCGAAUCUUAUUCCAAAGCAAUAUGACUAUAAGUUUUUGGUUGGGGUGACCGCGGAGCAAAAUUUAACCUCCGUGUUGAAAGAAUUAAGCUAAGAAUCACCCUUCUAAGCAUCAAUAUAUUGACAUCAAUUGACCCAAUACACUUGAACAACGAACCAAGUUACCCUAGGGAUAACAGCGCA